GACGAACGCUGGCGGCGUGCUUAACACAUGCAAGUCGAACGGAAAGGCCCUGCCUUUGUGGGGUGCUCGAGUUGCGAACGGGUGAGUAACACUUGAGUAACCUGCCCCUGACUUUGGGAUAACUUCAUGAAACUGGGUCUAAUACCGGCUAGGAGCUCCCGCUGCAUGGUGGGGGUUGGAAAGUUUCGGUGGUUGGGGAUGUACUCGCGGCUUAUGAGCUUGGUGGUGGGAUAGUGGCUUACCAAGGCUUUGACGGGUAGCCGGCCUGAGAGGGUGACCGGCCACAUCGGGAUUGAGAUACGGCCCAGACUACUAUGGGAGGCAGCAGUGGAGAAUAUUGCACAAUGGGCGGAAGGCUGGUGCAGCAAAGCCGCGUGCGGGAUGACGGCCUUCGGGUUGUGAACCGCUGUCGCCUGUGACGAGGCGUGAGUGACAGUAAUGGGUAAAGAAGCACCGGCUAACUACGUG
rnacentral:rRNA from 1 species